rnacentral:rRNA from 1 species
AUUGAACGCUAGCGGGAUGCCUAACACAUGCAAGUCGAACGGAGUGGCGAACGGGUGCGUAAUGUAUAGGAACGUGCCCAGUAGCGGGGGAUAACUACGCGAAAGCGUAGCUAAUACCGCAUACUAUUGGAGCGGCCUGUAUCGGAUUAGCUAGUGGGUGGGGUAACGGCUCACCAAGGCGACGAUCCGUAGCUGGUUUGAGAGGACGACCAGCCACACUGGAACUGAGACACGGCCCAGACUCCUACGGGAGGCAGCAGUGGGGAAUAUUGGACAAUGGGCGAAAGCCUGAUGCAGCCAUCCCGCGUGUGCGAAGAAGGCCUUCGGGUUGUAAAGCACUUUUGGCAGGGAGGCGGUACCUGCAGAAUAAGCACCGGCUAACUCCGUGCCAGCAGCCGCGGUAAUAC